rnacentral:rRNA from 1 species
UAGUCCACGCCGUAAACGAUGUCGACUUGGAGGUUGUGCCCUUGAGGCGUGGCUUCCGGAGCUAACGCGUUAAGUCGACCGCCUGGGGAGUACGGCCGCAAGGUUAAAACUCAAAUGAAUUGACGGGGGCCCGCACAAGCGGUGGAGCAUGUGGUUUAAUUCGAUGCAACGCGAAGAACCUUACCUGGCCUUGACAUCCACGGAAUUCGGCAGAGAUGCCUUAGUGCCUUCGGGAACCGUGAGACAGGUGCUGCAUGGCUGUCGUCAGCUCGUGUUGUGAAAUGUUGGGUUAAGUCCCGCAACGAGCGCAACCCUUAUCCUUUGUUGCCAGCGAGUAAUGUCGGGAACUCAAAGGAGACUGCCGGUGACAAACCGGAGGAAGGUGGGGAUGACGUCAAGUCAUCAUGGCCCUUACGGCCAGGGCUACACACGUGCUACAAUGGCGCAUACAAAGAGAAGCGAACUCGCGAGAGCAAGCGGACCUCACAAAGUGCGUCGUAGUCCGGAUCGGAGUCUGCAACUCGACUCCGUGAAGUCGGAAUCGCUAGUAAUCGUAGAUCAGAAUGCUACGGUGAAUACGUUCCCGGGCCUUGUACACACCGCCCGUCACACCAUGGGAGUGGGUUGCAAAAGAAGUAGGUAGCUUAACCUUCGGGAGGGCGCUUACCACUUUGUGAUUCAUGACUGGGGUGAAGUCGUAACAAGGUACCAAGGGCGAA